rnacentral:lncRNA from 1 species
GUCCCUUUGCAAAUUGUUUUUUUUAAAAAAGCAUGAUACAGAAAUCUAUGCAUACACAGCAUAAGACUUUUACAGGUAAGACAUUUGUACAUCCGUUUAAUUUCAGGUGAUCCACUCAUUCAGCCUUGAGCAGCCAGGAGAACUCUGCCUCUUUUACUUCCCAUUCUCAGUGCCGAACAUUCGCUCCUUUAACAUCCUCUCCAAUUUUAUUGCAUCUGCAGCAAACUUUCUGAUCCCAUCAGACAGCUUCUCCACAGCCAUUUGGUCUUCGUUGUGGUGCCAGCGGAAUGCCUUCUCAUCCAGGUGGAUCUUCUCGAGGUCACAGGCCUGAGCUGCACCAGGGCAAUUGAAAAAUAAAUGAAACUCUUCAGAUUGUCAUCAGGUACCCUGGGCUUCUUAAAAACUGUCUCAAGCUUCUGGCCAUCUCCAAAUGAAAAGCUGAGAAGUUUCUAACACCAUUUUCAGCAUGACUUGCUCUGUGAGCACACUAUAGGAUGCAAGAAUCAAAAUGCUCCUCAUCUGCGUUCAUAAGAAGGUUAUCUAGAUCAUCAGUUUCCUUCAAAAUACAGUGUUCACAGGUGUGCUGUUAUCUUGUAUCUGUUUCUAAUUGGUCUGGUGCUUUCAGGAAUACUACCAAGAAUACUGCAGUGAGAUAUUCUAAGCAAAGAGGCUGAACAAUUAGGCCUUUGAUCCUGUGGCAAGUACCUAACAAAAGCUCAAUUGAUAUACGCCUACAAGCCAGCUACCACCCUGUGAGCACCAACUACAGCUGUACACAAAUCCCAACAUUUGAACUGAGAAGCAGCAUUUUAAUAAGGCUACAGAAGCACAAGAAUAAUGCCAUGAGAACAUACACUCAAAACUACUGAGGCAGAGUAUCACUAGAUCAAAUAAGUCUUGCGUGUGACUUCAUCUCUAAUGUUUCUGGAGGGAAAACAUCUUUUGGCAUGCCCAGAGCUAACAGCAGUAUUAGCAUAAUGAUUAAACUCUGCUUGGAUUUCUGCUAACCAUCAGUAAGAUUUCACCCCAAGUACAUGAAGCAUGAAGUUCCUCCUCCCUACCCGUCUUCAGGGAAAGAGACUGAGUAUUUAAGCAUGCCCAAAGCCCAGUUCCAAUUAAUGUACUCAGUGGGAACUGACACCCUAAGGAACUAACCAUGUAUAAGCAGUUGUAGUGGUACAGCUGUAACAUGACCAUUUCCUUCAGAGAAGGGUCAAGGUUUAGCCUUAAAGCAGAAUGGAAGCACCAUGGAACUGGAUGGAACCACAUACUCUUCACGUUCAAGAAGAAAGGGAGUCUGAGCAAAUCUGUAUUACAGAGAACUGGACUUACCCUCCUUAACGCUGAGCGUGGGAGUUAGCUUGACGUGCUCUUUGCUGAGCUCUGCCAAGAGCUUGGGUGAAAUAGUGAGAUAGUCACAGCCUGUAAGAGCUUUGAUUUCUCCUGUAUUUCGAAAUGAAGCACCCAUCACAAUGGUUUUGUAGCCAAACUUUUUGUAGUAAUUAUAGAUCUUAGUGACGCUCUUCACUCCUGGAUCUUCUGAAGGCUCGUAGGUUUUCUUAUCUCCGUUAGCAACAUGCCAAUCCAGGAUGCGUCCUACAAAUGGGGAGAUCAGAGUAACCCCAGCUUCAGCACAGGCGACUGCCUGAGCAAAGGAGAACAGCAAGGUCAUGUUGCAAUGAAUCCCGUACUCUGCUUCCAGAACCUUGCCAGCCUGGAUUCCUUCCCAUGUUGAAGAAAGCUUUAUGAGAAUCCGAUCUUUACCAAUUCCUACUUCCUUAUAAAGGUCAAUCAGACGCCUGGCCCUCUGAAUCAUUCCUUCUUUAUCAAAAGACAACCUUGCAUCUACUUCUGUGGACACACGGCCAGGUAUCCUCUUCAGUAUUUCAGCUCCAAACAAUACAAAGAGUUUGUCACAGGCAUUUUGGAUUUGCUCAUCUUCUGACCCCCCCAGUUUCUUCCCAUAUGCAACCGCAUCAUCCACAAGUUUCUGGUAUGCAGGCAUCUGAGCAGCAGCCAGGAUCAGAGAUGGGUUCGUGGUGGCAUCCAGGGGUUUGUACUCAUCGAUUGCGUUGAAAUCCCCGGUGUCGGCCACCACCGUGGUGUGGUGCUUCAGCUGCUCCAGCGCCGACUCCAUCUUCUGCCUCUUCACGGGGGACACCGACAUAACUCCGCAGGACGCGGGGGGGGCUGCGGCCGCCUUAAAGGAACGCUGCGUGCCCGGAGGGGAUCCUGCCCGCCCGCCCGCCUGCCUGCCUGCGCGCGCACCCGCCGCUCGCUCCCGACACCCUCGGCCGGGGGAGGGCGCGCCGCCCGCUCCGUCCAAUCCCGUCUCCGGUGGGUGUUGCUGCGAGCCAAUCGGCGGCGCGGGGACAAGUCAG